GAUGAACGCUGGCGGCGUGCCUAAUACAUGCAAGUCGAGCGAACAGACGAGGAGCUUGCUCCUCUGACGUUAGCGGCGGACGGGUGAGUAACACGUGGAUAACCUACCUAUAAGACUGGGAUAACUUCGGGAAACCGGAGCUAAUACCGGAUAAUAUAUUGAACCGCAUGGUUCAAUAGUGAAAGACGGUUUUGCUGUCACUUAUAGAUGGAUCCGCGCCGCAUUAGCUAGUUGGUAAGGUAACGGCUUACCAAGGCAACGAUGCGUAGCCGACCUGAGAGGGUGAUCGGCCACACGGGAACGGAGACACGGUCCAGACUCCUACGGGAGGCAGCAGUAGGGAAUCUUACGCAAUGGGCGAAAGCUUGACGGAGCAACGCCGCGUGAGUGAUGAAGGUCUUCGGAUCGUAAAACUCUGUUAUUAGGGAAGAACAAAUGUGUAAGUAACUAUGCACGUCUUGACGGUACCUAAUCAGAAAGCCACGGCUAACUACGUG
rnacentral:rRNA from 1 species